GUGUUCCUUAUUGGUAGGUUUUCGAUAUCACAAGAAAAGUGACAUACAAGAAUCUUGCAAAAUGGUAUAAAGAACUUAGAGAUUACAGAGAAAACAUACCUUGUAUAGUAAUAGCUAACAAAAUUGAUGUUGACUAUAAUGUAACGCAAAAGAGUUUUAAUUUUC